GGAAAUUGCUGGCUUGCCGAAAUGACAUUGUUGGCAUUAACUAGAUUAACUUCUGAAAUGAAAAGCCCACGAAAGCAAAACCAAAACAGAGAAGGAGCCAUGGCUUCCGCUGGGGGCUUCACGGUUCCCUGCUUCGGCCUGCCUGACCCCCUACCCAGGGCUCCCAGCCAUCCUCCCUGGACAGGCUGGAGAGGAGGCAGGAGCCCCUUCCCUGUCUUCACACAGGACCUCACCUCACGGAUCUCGGGAAAAGAGUACUGGGCACUGAGCCCCACACUGGGACUGGGAACUCUUUCAGAAGGUUCUAGUCCGCAGGGGAGAUAGGCAGGCAUGUCAACACCAGGCAGAGUGGUGAGAGAGGAGUCAAGAAAGCCAAGAACUGAUGGACCCAGAGUCCAGGGAUCAGAGAAGCAACACCCCGGCUGAAUGACAAGCAGAUCUCCAGCCAGAGCUUCUUGAGAAGGCAAACCAGGAAGGGGGUAAGAGGAAGACACAGAGAUGCGAGGAGGAGCCAAGGGCAGUCCUGCGUGGCUGGAGCACAGAGGGAAGGGAUGACACCGUUGCAUUUAGUGGUCCCAUCAGGUUCCUUUUGGCUGCUGUGUGAAGACUGGCAUAGAGAACAGCAAGACAGGAGCAGGGAUUCCACACAGAAGAUUCCUGAAGGGAUCCCAGCAAGAGAACAUGGGGGUUUAGAUUCGAGGGUGGGGGCCUUGUCAGCAGAGUUGGAGAGAAGCAGGUAAAUCAGAGUGAUUUUAGCAUGGAGGUAAGAGAGAGGAAAAAUGAUGACCAGGGAUGAUUUCCCCUGACUAGUAGCAGCGUUUACAACACUGGGAAGCAUUAGGAGAUGCGGGGUUUGGGUGACAGGGGUCUGAUGGAAGAUCAAGUUAAGGCUGUCAGGUAAAAUCUGGAGGCUGAAAAUCAGGAUAGCAUUCUGACCGUGAGAUGUACUUGAGAGAAAAUAGCACAGAGGUAGUAUCCUUGGAUGCGGACAAGGCCCACUGAGGGACAGGGUGCUGAGACAGGAGAGAGGAACCUGGCACUACCAUGGAAUUUUAAGGCAAGAUCCAAUUUUCAUUUUAGAAAGAGCUUUCUGACUGUCAUGCAGACAACCAUGUGCAGGGUGAUGCCAGAGAUAAGAGAGACCAGAUCUUGGUGACCAGCUGCAACUCAG
ensembl:lncRNA